GACGAACGCUGGCGGCGCGCCUAACACAUGCAAGUCGAACGGAGCUGAGAGAAGCUUGCUUUUCUUAGCUUAGUGGCGAAAGGGUGAGUAACGCGUGAGUAACCUAGCCUGGAGUGGGGGACAAAAGAUGGAAACGAAUGCUAAUACCGCAUAAGCCCACGAGCCGGCAUCGGAUUGAGGGAAAAGGAUUUAUUCGCUUCAGGAUGGACUCGCGUCCAAUUAGCUAGUUGGUGAGGUAACGGCCCACCAAGGCGACGAUUGGUAGCCGGACUGAGAGGUUGGACGGCCACAUUGGGACUGAGACACGGCCCAGACUCCUACGGGAGGCAGCAGUGGGGGAUAUUGCACAAUGGGGGAAACCCUGAUGCAGCGACGCCGCGUGGAGGAAGAAGGUUUUCGGAUUGUAAACUCCUGUCGUUAGGGACGAUAAUGACGGUACCUAACAAGAAAGCACCGGCUAACUACGUG
rnacentral:rRNA from 1 species